GCCCAGGCUGUAAUUUUAAUUUCCACUGGGUGCUGGCAAAGCCCCCCUGGGGGUGAGCCCCAGUGCCUGGCAGGAGCGGAGCGGGCUUGCGGGGAGGUGUUCACCCGGUCAGCGUCAGGAACCAUCCUAACUGAGGCCUCGGCUGCCUCUUUCCCUUCGGUCGCCGUGGACACUGUGCCGGACACCUCUGGCAGGACUAACCCUGUGGCUUUUAUGUCCAGCGUGCUGUAUGCCUGCAGCAUCCUGUCCGAGACAAAGCUACCUUUCUUUCCUUGUGGGAAUGGACCGGCCGGGCUUUGGCAAUCUGUCCCCUCGAAAGACAAAGUGACCUCUUCCAACAGGGGAAGACUGAAGCAAGGGGUGCCAGGAAGAACUGGAGUCUCUGGAGAAUAAAAGCUGGAAGCGUGCCCCCGAAAGUCCCCAGCCCCGGGUGGUCAGUGGUCUGACUUGCACGGACCGGUGGCCUUGGCCAGGAGCGGUCCUGCCGGCCUGUACUUUUAAUUUCCUGCCCAGGCUGUAAUUUUAAUUUCCACUGGGUGCUGGCAAAGCCCCCCUGGGGGUGAGCCCCAGUGCCUGGCAGGAGCGGAGCGGGCUUGCGGGGAUGUAUUCACCCGGUCAGCGUCAGGAACCGUCCUAACUGAGGCCUCGGCUGCCUCUUUCCCUUCGGUCGCCGUGGACACUGUGCCGGACACCUCUGGCAGGACUAACCCUGUGGCUUUUAUGUCCAGCGUGCUGUAUGCCUGCAGCAUCCUGUCCGAGACAAAGCUACCUUUCUUUCCUCGUGGGAAUGGACCGGCCGGGCUUUGGCAGUCUGUCCCCUCGAAAGACUAAAGUGACCUCUUGCAGCAGGGGAAGACUGAAGCAAGGGGUGCCAGGAAGAACUGGAGUCUCUGGAGAAUAAAAGCUGGAAGCGUGCCCCCGAAAGUCCCCAGCCCCGGGUGGUCAGUGGUCUGACUUGCACGGACCGGUGGCCUUGGCCAGGAGUGGUCCUGCGGGAAGCACCUUUGCCCAGGCUGUAAUUUUAAUUUCCACUGGGUGCUGGCAAAGCCCCCCUGGGGGUGAGCCCCAGUGCCUGGCAGGAGCGGAGCGGGCUUGCGGGGAGGUGUUCACCCGGUCAGCGUCAGGAACCAUCCUAACUGAGGCCUCGGCUGCCUCUUUCCCUUCGGUCGCCGUGUGUGUGCCGGACACCUCUGGCAGGACUAACCCUGUGGCUUUUAUGUCCAACGUGCUGUAUGCCUGCAGAAUUGCCACGAGAGGAAAUACCUCAGAGGGGCUUCCCUCCAGAUAAGCCCUGAAUAUGCCAGGAGGUUUCAGCCGGGAGAAAGGAGCUGUGGAAGAAAAGCAGCCUAAAAAUAGCCAGCGGGGAUCAUUAGGUUUUCCAGCCAAGAAAAACAAGGACGGAGAUGAGGGAAUUGGGUUCCAAUUCCUAAUGAUUUGGUGGGUGUAGGAAUGAUUUCUGUGUGUUUUCCAGUCCCUUUUGAUUCCUGGGAAGAUUUUAAAAUGAUGGCUUUAGCAAUCAACUAAAUUGGAGAUGUUGUUUUUGAGAGGAAAUGAUGCCAAAUAAAUGCAGAGAGAGAGCGUGGAAUCAUCCGGGGAUCCUGGAGUGGUUUGGGUUGGAAAGGAUCUCAGGGAUCAUCUCCUUCCAUCCCCUGCCACAGGCAGGGACACCUUCUAAUAGACAUCCAGCCUGGCCUUGGCCACUUGCAGGGAUGGGGCAGCCACAGCUUCUCUGUGCCAGGCCACCUCCCCACCCUCCCAGGGAAGAAUGUCUCCCUUAUGUGCAAUCUUUCCCUUUCUUCUCUGCAGGAAGUGGGCUGGGACAAGGGAAUUGGCUCCCACGAGGCCGAGGAUCAGAGCAGGCUCUGCACAGGGGACGACUUCCACUUCCGAACGAACGGGGAAGGGCACCUUCGUCCCCACCCCCGGCAUGGGGACGGAGUAACAUCUGCCUGCAGCUGGCUGGAGUUCCCGUUGGCUCUGGGCUUUCUGCCCACGGGCCGGGGAUCAUGGCCAGAGUCCUUCAAACCUGGGGAACAGUGGCCUUCACAGCAUCCCUGCAGCCCGUCCAGGGCAGGCUGCUGCCCAUCGGCCCCUGAUCACAGGUGGAUGUAGAAGUGAUGGUGUUUAGGGAAUGUUGAUUGUAUUUCCCUGACUUUAGCAACGUGGUCAUUAAAAAGAGAAAAAUAACAA